AGCUGUUUUCAUAGUUUUCUUUAUUAACAUUUACAUGAGUUAUGGAGCACGCAAACAGAUCUGGCAAAAACAUGUCAGUAGUAAAACAACAAAGCUGGUUUUAAAGAGGGAAGUGACUGGCUUGUGAGUAAUCAUAUCUUACCUCAUCUGGAAAAGGAGACAGGUUUUCCAAGUUCAGACAUGCAGUCAGUGUGAAUGGUGGCACAGAUGAAAUAGAGCUCAAAGGCAGGUACCCUUCCAUCCACUCAUCCAUCCAUCCACCCACCCAUCCACCCACCCAUCCAUCCAUCCAUCCGUCCGUCCAGUACUUACUGAACACCUACUGUGUACCAGACACUCUUCUAGGAAAUUAGAAAUCAUCAGUGAACAAAACAGACGAACAUUCUGACCACCAGGACGCUACAUUCUAGAUGGGAGAGACAAAGAAAUGAAAUUGUGACUGUCACCAGGCAGACGAUUCUCGGUUAGCUGCUGAGUCGGUUGGUUUCGUCCACCUGCAGAUCUUGAGGAAAGGAGAUCCUUCUACUCCGCCUGGUGCCACCUGCAGCAUCUUCCAGGGACGCGGUGCAUCAGCGUUAGGGAAUCUCAGAGCCGGCGGGAUCCCAGGGAUGGCCUGUCCACCUCGGGCGAAGUGACCGCUCAAGGGCACACGCAUGGCCCUUGUGUCCGUCCCGGGGCCGGGGAAUCUCAUCCGCGGCACACAGUGCGUUCCUCCUCAUAAACGAUAAGAUAAUGGAUGAAAGAUGCAUAACCAGUUCACAGGUAUCCACGACAUCGGGAGAAAGUAAAGGACAUGGAUGUAUAUACUGAAGUCAGAUCUUGACUGCCUUACUUCAUUAAGUUAAUUUAACCUAACUGACACACCUUCUACCUCUAGAAGGUUCUACAUCGGGCUUGAGAAAGUCAGCACUCAGCCACCAGGUUUGCUGGCUAAAUGGUGCAUUUGGAUAAUAGGAGGUCUGAGUGGGGGGCCCACACAGCCACUUGCACAUGUGAUGCACGAAAAGCAGGGAGAGGAAAGUGCAAACACCCGUUAGCACCUCGUUGCUUUAAUUAACCGACUUUCUAAGCCUGAAGGUAAAGAUGUUAGUUUGCCAUCACGCCUCUGAUUUAUUCAUUUCCCAAUAGCGAAACCACAGCCUGAUGGGAAGCAGGUACAGUGUGACCUGUUAGAUGAUCAGCUUCUGCAGAAUAUCUUUUCCUGUUGCAUUGCCCAAAGGUAUGAUGCUUUUGGAAAUCUCCUUAAUUUGGAAUGUUAUUGCUGCCAUUUCAAAAGGGAGAGGGAAAACAAACGUUCCCUUUUUCAUUAGUUUUAAUGUCACUCCUCUAAAGUAGUGGUGUCAAAUAAUACACUUCUAAAAUUUAUUUCUGGGGAGCACUCCUUAUGAGGCCCUGAAAUUUCUGACUCGUCACCUAAAGAAAAUUGGCAUUUUCAGAGCUAGUCCAUGAUGGACCAGGAAGUUGGGAAUUUGCCCCAGGAGGGCUGUGCCGCGGUAAUUUGCACUAAAAUGAAAAUCUUCAUGUUUAUCACCUCCUUUCACCUAUAAAGCAACUCUGGGGCUUCCCUGGUGGCACCGUGGUUAAGAAUCCGUUUGCCAAUGUAGGGGACACAGGUUCGAGCCCUGGCCUGGGAAGAUCUCACAUGCUGUGGAGCAACUAAGCCCGUGCACCACAACUACUGAGCCUGAGCUCUAGAGCCUGCAAGCUACAACUACUGAGCCCGUGUGCCACAACUGCUGAAGCCUGUGCUCCUAGAGCCCAUGCUCUGCAACAAGAGAAGGCACCGCCACGAGAAGCCUGCGCACUGCAGCGAAGAGUAGCCCCUGAAUGCCGCAACUAGAGAAAGCCCGCGCGCAGCAACGAAGACCCAGAGCAGCCAAAAAUAAAUGACAAUAAAUAAAAUAAAUAUAAAAAAGAAUCUUACCUAUAGAAAGCAAGUCUGCUCACCAAUCUCACUGGUUGUGUCUUCAAUCAGGACAGAGCCUGGUUCUUUCCUUGCCUUCUGGAGGCUCUGAGCAUUUCUCUCCUCUUGCUGAGUAGAUGAUCCUUUUGAAGAAAGUUUAGGGAAUUGAGGUUAUUUAAUUGGGGGAAGGUCAGGAACGAUUGAGGACCGUCUCCAGUGGCUAUCAAGGCUUAGGAAAGGUGUCCGCCCACUCGUCUCCCUUUUUUGCACAAAGCUGCUCAGCUUCAGUUCCAGGAAGGAGGAGUGGCAGAGGGCCCUGCUGCCUUAUGAGAGCUUUCAGCCAGGUCCUUAUUCCUGAUAGCCCCCGAGGAAACAAACGAGGUUCCAAGGCAAAGAGGCUAAGCUGAACUGUGCUGGGUACUUCAGACUCCAGUGUCCUUUCUGAAGGGGAAGCAGAAGACAUUCUCUGUAGAGAAAACUCAGCCCUUCGGUUUUGUGAACCAGCUGGUGGGAAUCUCCAGGGCGAAGAUGUGCUGAACAGUCAGUGUUCCAGGUGAAAGGAGGCCUAAAGCUGGUGCCACGCAGAUUUGCCCCUCCGCUCUGCUUCUGGUUGAAGGUGGGUGGGCAACAGCUGUGGCAGGGAGGAUGCAGCUGGACAGACAGGAAUACUCGUGACUCUCAGC